UGAUUUCAUAUCCAAAAGAAGGUCAACUGG
rnacentral:piRNA from 1 species